GCAGUCGAGCGCCCCGCAAGGGGAGCGGCAGACGGGUGAGUAACGCGUGGGAAUCUACCCAUCUCUACGGAACAACUCCGGGAAACUGGAGCUAAUACCGUAUACGUCCUCCGGGAGAAAGAUUUAUCGGAGAUGGAUGAGCCCGCGUUGGAUUAGCUAGUUGGUGGGGUAAUGGCCUACCAAGGCGACGAUCCAUAGCUGGUCUGAGAGGAUGAUCAGCCACAUUGGGACUGAGACACGGCCCAAACUCCUACGGGAGGCAGCAGUGGGGAAUAUUGGACAAUGGGCGAAAGCCUGAUCCAGCCAUGCCGCGUGAGUGAUGAAGGCCCUAGGGUUGUAAAGCUCUUUCAACGGUGAAGAUAAUGACGGUAACCGUAGAAGAAGCCCCGGCUAACUUCGUGCCAGCAGCCGCGGUAAUACGAAGGGGGCUAGCGUUGUUCGGAAUUACUGGGCGUAAAGCGCACGUAGGCGGACUAUUAAGUCAGGGGUGAAAUCCCGGGGCUCAACCCCGGAACUGCCUUUGAUACUGGUGGUCUAGAGUCCGGAAGAGGUGAGUGGAAUUCCGAGUGUAGAGGUGAAAUUCGUAGAUAUUCGGAGGAACACCAGUGGCGAAGGCGGCUCACUGGUCCGGUACUGACGCUGAGGUGCGA
rnacentral:rRNA from 1 species